rnacentral:rRNA from 1 species
UACCUAGGGGGCAAGCGUUGUCCGGAAUCAUUGGGCGUAAAGAGCGCGUAGGCGGCUCUGUAAGUCCGCUGUGAAAGUCAAGGGCUCAACCCUUGAAUGCCGGUGGAUACUGCAGGGCUAGAGUCCGGAAGAGGCGAGUGGAAUUCUUGGUGUAGCGGUGAAAUGCGUAGAUAUCAAGAGGAACACCUGAGGUGAAGACGGGUUGCUGGGCUGACACUGACGCUGAGGCGCGAAAGCUAGGGUAGCAAACGGG